rnacentral:rRNA from 1 species
GAUGAACGCUGGCGGCGUGCCUAAUACAUGCAAGUCGAGCGAACAGACGAGGAGCUUGCUCCUCUGACGUUAGCGGCGGACGGGUGAGUAACACAUGGAUAACCUACCUAUAAGACUGGGAUAACUUCGGGAAACCGGAGCUAAUACCGGAUAAUAUAUUGAACCGCAUGGUUCAAUAGUGAAAGACGGUUUUGCUGUCACUUAUAGAUGGAUCCGCGCCGCAUUAGCUAGUUGGUAAGGUAACGGCUUACCAAGGCGACGAUGCGUAGCCGACCUGAGAGGGUGAUCGGCCACACUGGAACUGAGACACGGUCCAGACUCCUACGGGAGGCAGCAGUAGGGAAUCUUCCGCAAUGGGCGAAAGCUUGACGGAGCAACGCCGCGUGAGUGAUGAAGGUCUUCGGAUCGUAAAACUCUGUUAUUAGGGAAGAACAAAUGUGUAAGUAACUAUGCACGUCUUGACGGUACCUAAUCAGAAAGCCACGGCUAACUACGUG